AUGUCCUGGGCCUCCCUCGCUGACGAGGACAAUGAGGAUGAUGAAGAAGAGUUGGCUCCGCUGACGCCGCCGGCUUUCAAAAGCCCGGUCUCGGCUGCUGACCCGACUGUUCCAUGCGUUGGGCACGAGAAGGAGACGAGUGGUGGAUGGCAAGAGGUUCUGCUUCGGCGCGGUCGGCGCUGUCAGGCGUCACCAACACCGGCAUUUGCUCCUCGUCCCAUCCCUGCCUGGCUCCAUGGUCGAUGUUGUCAAUGCCUCGCCCCUGGACACCGUGCAGCAGUUUGCAGAGAUCCUUUGCGAUGCUCCCGUUGCUUGGAGAACGGACAUUGGGCGCGCGGGUGCCGCAAUCCUUGGCGUCCGCUCAGCUCUUUGGCAUGCCUUGUCGCGCCACCACUGUCUCGCCUCAGCACCGAGCAUUGUCAAGCUCCAGCUUCUUCUGGGGGUCCGAUGAAAUCCACUCUCCCCUACAAAGCGCUUCAUCGAGGGUCCUGGGCGUCGAUUGUAUCUGAUGAUGUUGGCUCGGCACCCCCAACCGAUGUGAUGCUACAGUCCACUUUAGCAACUCAGGCCAAGUUGCUGAUGCGUGUUGGGAGCUUUCUGGAGCGGGCGGAGGCGGCCCUGGACAAGCUCUCUCUUGUGUCGGCUGUGUUGUAG
rnacentral:rRNA from 1 species